rnacentral:rRNA from 1 species
GUGGGGAAUAUUGGACAAUGGGGGGAACCCUGAUCCAGCCAUGCCGCGUGUGUGAAGAAGGCCUUUUGGUUGUAAAGCACUUUAAGCGAGGAGGAGGCUACCGAGAUUAAUACUCUUGGAUAGUGGACGUUACUCGCAGAAUAAGCACCGGCUAACUCUGUGCCAGCAGCCGCGGUAAUACAGAGGGUGCAAGCGUUAAUCGGAUUUACUGGGCGUAAAGCGCGCAGAGGUGGCCAAUUAAGUCAAAUGUGAAAUCCCCGAGCUUAACUUGGGAAUUGCAUUCGAUACUGGUUGGCUAGAGUAUGGGAGAGGAUGGUAGAAUUCCAGGUGUAGCGGUGAAAUGCGUAGAGAUCUGGAGGAAUACCGAUGGCGAAGGCAGCCAUCUGGCCUAAUACUGACACUGAGGUGCGAAAGCAUGGGGAGCAAACAGGAUUAGAUACCCCGGUAGUUC